AGUGAACGCUGGCGGUAGGCCUAACACAUGCAAGUCGAACGGCAGCACAGGAGAGCUUGCUCUCUGGGUGGCGAGUGGCGGACGGGUGAGGAAUACAUCGGAAUCUACUCUGUCGUGGGGGAUAACGUAGGGAAACUUACGCUAAUACCGCAUACGACCUACGGGUGAAAGCAGGGGACCUUCGGGCCUUGCGCGAUUGAAUGAGCCGAUGUCGGAUUAGCUAGUUGGCGGGGUAAAGGCCCACCAAGGCGACGAUCCGUAGCUGGUCUGAGAGGAUGCACAGCCACACUGGAACUGAGACACGGUCCAGGCUCCUACGGGAGGCAGCAGGGGGGAAUAUUGGACAAUGGGCGCAAGCCUGAUCCAGCCAUACCGCGUGGGUGAAGAAGGCCUUCGGGUUGUAAAGCCCUUUUGUUGGGAAAGAAAUCCAGCUGGCUAAUACCCGGUUGGGAUGACGGUACCCAAAGAAUAAGCACCGGCUAACUUCGUGCCAGCAGCCGCCGUAA
rnacentral:rRNA from 1 species